GGAUGCCUUGGCACUAGAAGCCGAUGAAGGACGUUACUAACGACGAUAUGCUUUGGGGAGCUGUAAGUAAGCUUUGAUCCAGAGAUUUCCGAAUGGGGAAACCCAGCAUGAGUUAUGUCAUGUUAUCGAUAUGUGAAUACAUAGCAUAUCAGAAGGCACACCCGGAGAACUGAAACAUCUUAGUACCCGGAGGAAGAGAAAGAAAAUUCGAUUCCCUUAGUAGCGGCGAGCGAAACGGGAAGAGCCCAAACCAAGAAG
rnacentral:rRNA from 1 species